CAUUAAGAAGCUAAUAGGGUAUAGCAUUAGCCUUUUAAGCUAAAAAUAGGUGACUCCCAACCACCCUUAAUGA
rnacentral:tRNA from 3 species